rnacentral:rRNA from 1 species
AAGGUUCUCUCAGUACGGUCGGAAAUCGUACGUAGAGUGUAAAGGCAAAAGAGAGCUUGAUUGCAAGACAUACAGGUCGAGCAAGGAUGAAAAUCGGACUUAGUGAUCCGGUGGUUCUGCGUGGAAGGGCCAUCGCUCAACGGAUAAAAGCUACCCUGGGGAUAACAGGCUUAUCUCCCCCAAGAGUCCACAUCGACGGGGAGGUUUGGCACCUCGAUGUCGGCUCAUCACAUCCUGGGGCUGUAGUAGGUCCCAAGGGUUGGGCUGUUCGCCCAUUAAAGUGGUACGCGAGCUGGGUUCAGAACGUCGUGAGACAGUUCGGUCCCUAUCCGUCGCAGGCGUAGGAAAUUUGAGAAGACCUGUCCUUAGUACGAGAGGACCGGGAUGGACGUACCUCUGGUGUACCAGUUGUUCUGCCAAGGGCAUGGCUGGGUAGCUAUGUACGGAAUGGAUAAGCGCUGAAAGCAUCUAAGCGCGAAGCCAACUUCAAGAUAAGAUUUCCCACCGCAAGGGUAAGACCCCAGAAAGACUAUCUGGUUGAUAGGUCGAAGGUGUAAGUGCAGCAAUGUAUUUAGCUUAUCGAUACUAAUAGGUCGAGGACUUGACCAAUAUU